rnacentral:rRNA from 1 species
UGAGGAAUAUUGGUCAAUGGGCGCAAGCCUGAACCAGCCAUCCCGCGUGCAGGAAGACGGCCCUAUGGGUUGUAAACUGCUUUUCCAGGGGGAGAAUUUUUCUGUCGUGACAGGAAUUGACGGUACCCUGGGAAUAAGCAUCGGCUAACUCCGUGCCAGCAGCCGCGGUAAUACGGAGGAUGCGAGCGUUAUCCGGAUUUAUUGGGUUUAAAGGGUGCGUAGGCGGAUUGAUAAGUCAGUGGUGAAAACCUGCAGCUUAACUGUA